rnacentral:tRNA from 1 species
GCCUUCGUGGUGUAAUGGUCAACACACUGGGUGCUUAUUCGAGAGGUCCAAGGUUCGAGUCCCAGCGAGGACA